GGGGCUAUGGUGAAGGGAGAUCACGUUGCCUUUGCAUGGCAAAGUCCGAGGUUUGAAUCCUCGUAGCUCCA
rnacentral:tRNA from 1 species